rnacentral:rRNA from 1 species
CCUACGGGAGGCAGCAGUGAGGAAUAUUGGUCAAUGGGCGGAAGCCUGAACCAGCCAAGUAGCGUGCAGGAUGACGGCCCUACGGGUUGUAAACUGCUUUUAUACGGGAAUAACGCGCCUUACGUGUAGGGCUUUGCAUGUACCGUAUGAAUAAGGACCGGUAAAUUCCGUGCCAGCCGCCGCGGUAAUACGGAAGGUCCGGGCGUUAUCCGGAUUUAUUGGGUUUAAAGGGAGCGUAGGCCGCAUGUUAAGCUUGCUGUGAAAUGUCCGGGCUCAACCCGGGACUUGCAGCGCGAAGUGGCGUGCUGGAGUUCGCGGAAAGCAGGCGGAAUUGG